rnacentral:lncRNA from 7 species
AGAUGAGAAAGCAUAUAAGAAAGCGAGAAGGGAGCUAGAAGAAAGGUGGGAGAGGGGAAAAAAUGGUUCAAAGGAGAAAAGACUAACAGUUGGAGCCUCAGCAACACCGGUCUGCUAAGGUGCCGACAUUUUGUCAAGAGUAGAAGAUCUUUAGCAGUGGAGGCUGAAAGAGGCUUGGCUGAGUGACUACUGAAAGGAUACCUGAGAGGUCAAACCUACUUAGAAAUGUUACAGUAGGUCUAAAAACUCAGGAAGAGAACAGGAAUAUUUUCCAAUUUCAAGAACUCAAAACAAAAUCAUGGAGUAACAAAGAGUAUUGGAAAUCUGUGUCAAAAUCCAUCUCUUUGGCUGACCUUUGGGAAGGCUCCGUUGAUGUGUUCUGUGAUACUAGAUACUAGAGGAGUGAUGUGACAGAUGAUAUGAAGGUUGCGCCUCAAUUUUAUUGAAGAAACAUCCUAUCAACAGAGGCAGUUGAUUACAGCCACAAAACUUUCAGGCUCUCUUGCAACACCUUGCUUGUCCAUGAGGAGUUGUGUGUCUCACCUCUUGCCCACAGACAGCAACUUGAUAAUCUACAGUCUAGGCUCCGGGACCUCUUAAAGCUCUCUGCAAGAUACAACUUUUUGAUACAUCUCCAGGCUUUGAGAGUGCUGUAUUCCUAACAACUUGUGACCAGCUUGUUUUAGAAGGAGCAUUUUUCUUCUGAACAUAAACAUGAAUGUGACGUAAUUCAAUGAACUGCAUU